ensembl:snRNA U6 U6 spliceosomal RNA
UUGCUUUGGCAGCACAUAUACCAAAAUCGGAAUGAUACAGAGAAGAUCAGCAUGGCAGCUGCACAAGGAUAUUAACAAAUUUCAUGAAGCAUUUUAUAUAUAU